rnacentral:rRNA from 1 species
AUUGAACGCUGGCGGCAGGCCUAACACAUGCAAGUCGAACGAGUGGCGGACGGGUGAGUAAUGUCUGGGAAACUGCCUGAUGGAGGGGGAUAACUACUGGAAACGGUAGCUAAUACCGCAUACCAUCGGAUGUGCCCAGAUGGGAUUAGCUCGUAGGUGGGGUAAAGGCUCACCUAGGCGACGAUCCCUAGCUGGUCUGAGAGGAUGACCAGCCACACUGGAACUGAGACACGGUCCAGAAGCCUACGGGAGGCAGCAGUGGGGAAUAUUGCACAAUGGGCGAAAUCCUGAUCCAGCCAUGCCGCGUGUGUGAAGAAGGUCUUCGGAUUGGAAAGCACUUUCAGUUGGGAGGCGUUACCAACAGAAUAAGCACCGGCUAACUCCGUGCCAGCAGCGGCGGUAAUAC